rnacentral:rRNA from 1 species
GAUAAACGCUGGCGGCGCACAUAAGACAUGCAAGUCGAACGAACUUAACUCAUUCUUUUAGUUUGAGAGCGGUUAGUGGCGGACUGGUGAGUAACACGUAAGCAACCUGCCUAUUAGAGGGGAAUAACAGUGAGAAAUCAUUGCUAAUACCGCAUAUGCUAACAGUAUCGCAUGAUACAGUUAGGAAAGGAGCAAUCCGCUAAUAGAUGGGCUUGCGUCUGAUUAGAUAGUUGGUGGGGUAACGGCCUACCAAGUCGACGAUCAGUAGCCGGACUGAGAGGUUGAACGGCCACAUUGGGACUGAGAUACGGCCCAGACUCCUACGGGAGGCAGCAGUCGGGAAUAUUGCGCAAUGGAGGAAACUCUGACGCAGUGACGCCGCGUAUAGGAAGAAGGUUUUUCGGGAAUUGGUAAAACUCAAUGUCGGGUGGGAAGGAUAAAUGACGGUACACCGGAGAAAGUCACGGCUAACUACGUGCCAGCAGCCGCGG